GCCUAGUUAGCUUGGUUGGUAGCGUCCGCCUCGUAAGCGCUAGGCCGCGGGUUCGAUUCCCGCCCGGGGCA
rfam:Asian citrus Psyllid, Diaphorina citri - Florida Strain, whole genome shotgun sequence.